CAUGACUUUGCAAAUACUGCAAAAAAAAAAAAAAAAUGUUGAUUGCUUGAGAUCAGAGGUCUGUUGUAUCCUGUUGAAAAUUGUAUCCAUUCUUCCUAAAAUAGUUCCUAACAUACUGUAUUGCCAUAGAUACUGCCCAAUAAAUUAGUGAAUAAUUGAACAAAUAUGUGUUCACUACUGGACUAAGAGACAAGUAACUAACUGCUGCUCAGUCAGAUCUUGUUUCCUGUUGCAUGGAGACAAUUAAGUCAAGGGGAAACAAGAAGAAUCCUAGAUGUCUCAAUGAGAUGAAGAAUUGCCUACUGUUUAUCACCCUGACCCAGUCUUUCUCCCCAAGACAAGUUCUGGAAACUAAAAGUCCAUGAUCAAGGCAUCAGCAGAUCAACGUCUGGUAAGAGUCAGCUUCCUGAUGAGCAGAUGCCUCCCUGACUUAAUCUCACUUGUUGGAGAGCAAGAAAAGAGGAUGUUUUCCUGUCACUUCCUAUAAGGGUGCUAAUCACAGUCAUGUGAGCUCCACUCUUAUGACCUAAUUAUCUCCCAAAGGCUCCAUCUCCUAAUAUCAUCAUAUUGAAGAAAUGAAGCAUAAAACAUGAAACCAUUAACAUGAAAGCAGUGUUGGAAGAAGACAGGAACGUGGAAGAAUAAGACAUAAAGAGAGAGAGAGAGAAUGAGGGAACUAAAGGGUGAAACUCCACAAAGUCAAGCAAUA
rnacentral:lncRNA from 10 species